rnacentral:rRNA from 1 species
UACGUAGGGGGCAAGCGUUGUCCGGAUUUAUUGGGCGUAAAGAGCGUGUAGGCGGCCAGACAGGUCAGCUGUGAAAACUCGAGGCUCAACCUCGAGACGUCGGUUGAAACCGUCUGGCUAGAGUCCGGAAGAGGAGAGUGGAAUUCCCGGUGUAGCGGUGAAAUGCGCAGAUAUCAGGAGGAACACCGGUGGCGAAGGCGGAUCUCUGGGCCGUGUC